rnacentral:tRNA from 2 species
UGGAAUGUAGCUCAGUGGUAGAGCAGUGGUCUUACAAGCUAUGUGCAACAGGUUCGAUUCCUGCCUUUCCGA